GUGCCAGCAGCCGCGGUAAUACGUAGGGGGCAAGCGUUGUCCGGAUUCAUUGGGCGUAAAGCGCGCGCAGGCGGCCGGCAGAGCCCGGCGUGAAAGCUCCCAGCUUAACUGGGAGAGGUCGUCGGGGACCUGGUGGCUAGAGGCCGGUAGGGGUGAGCGGAAUUCCCGGUGUAGUGGUGGAAUGCGUAGAUAUCGGGAGGAACACCGGUGGCGAAGGCGGAUCACUGGGCCGGUCCUGACGCUCAGGCGCGAAAGCGUGGGGAGCGAUCAGGAUUAGAAACCCCAGUAGUCC
rnacentral:rRNA from 1 species